CGGGGAGCCGGCGUUUUGUUUUGGGUUUUGUUUUUCCUUGAGGACUUCAGUGACUCUUGCAUAAGGAACAGACCUGUAAAGAUGUUUAUGUGGUGGUCAGCAGUUUUACUUCUUGGAUGGAUUUUGUUCGGAGCAGAUGGGUGGCCAGCCAAGGAAGGAUAUGACUUUAUGCCCUAUCAGCCACUCAUAAGAUUACGCCACAAGGUACUGAUUACUCUCUAGCACUUCUGACUUCUGUUCCAUGGUCAAGCAUUAAAGUAUGUGCCAG
rnacentral:lncRNA from 1 species